rnacentral:rRNA from 1 species
UGUCUUUUUGGAAAUAAUAUAAAGUCUAAUCUGCCCACUGAUUAAAUAAUUAAAGGGCUGCAGUAUAUUGACUGUACAAAGGUAGCAUAAUCAUUAGUCAUUUAAUUGAUGACUUGUAUGAAAGAUUUGAUGAAAUAUGAACUGUCUCUUAUUUAAUUAUAAAAUUUAAUUUUUUUAUUAAAAAGUUAAAAUAUUUUAAAAAGACGAGAAGACCCUAUAGAGUUUAAUAAAUUAUUAAAUUAAGAUUAUAUGUAAAAUAAAUUUGAAAUUAAAUUAUUUAUUUUGUUGGGGUGACAAAAAAAUAUAUAAAACUUUUUUUACAUAAAAACAUUUAUAAGUGAUUAUAUGAUCCAGUAAUAUUGAUUAUAAGAAAAAAUUACCUUAGGGAUAACAGCGUAAUUUUUUUUUUUAGUACAAAUAAGAAAAAGAGUUUGCGACCUCGAUGUUGGAUUAAGAUAAAAUUUAAAUGUAGAAG